rnacentral:snoRNA from 1 species
AAGCUGUGACGAAAAGCAGUAGCACUGGUGGGUCCGGGGCUUUCUCCUGAACCUUUGAAGACAUAUACGCGUAUCUGAGCUUG